rnacentral:lncRNA from 13 species
CCACUGGGACGAUUGAGCCUUAGUUUCGACGUCAUAUCCAAACGAAAAUCGCCGAGCUCAUAAAAACACGUGUAACCUUAGCGGCUGCCACAGACAAAGUAAACAAUGAAUACAGCUCAACAUUUCAGCCUUUACUUCAGGGGCAUGUAUACCAACAUAAACAAAAAAAAAUUUGAUUGUCGGACUCUCCAAACCCGCGAAAUU